rnacentral:rRNA from 1 species
GACAGAGGGGGCAAGCGUUGCUCGGAAUCACUGGGCGUAAAGGGCGCGUAGGCGGCAAUUCAAGUCAGCUGUGAAAUCUCCGGGCUUAACUCGGAACGGUCAGCUGAUACUGCUUUGCUAGAGUGCAGAAGGGGCAAUCGGAAUUCUUGGUGUAGCGGUGAAAUGCGUAGAUAUCAAGAGGAACACCUGAGGUGAAGACGGGUUGCUGGGCUGACACUGACGCUGAGGCGCGAAAGCUAGGGUAGCAAACGGG